CGAGAGUUUGAUCCUGGCUCAGGAUGAACGCUGGCGGCGUGCCUAAUACAUGCAAGUCGAACGCUUUGUGGUUCAACUGAUUUGAAGAGCUUGCUCAGAUAUGACGAUGGACAUUGCAAAGAGUGGCGAACGGGUGAGUAACACGUGGGAAACCUACCUCUUAGCAGGGGAUAACAUUUGGAAACAGAUGCUAAUACCGUAUAACAAUGACAACCGCAUGGUUGUUAUUUAAAAGAUGGUUCUGCUAUCACUAAGAGAUGGUCCCGCGGUGCAAUAGCUAGUUGGUAAGGUAAUGGCUUACCAAGGCGAUGAUGCAUAGCCGAGUUGAGAGACUGAUCGGCCACAAUGGGACUGAGACACGGCCCAUACUCCUACGGGAGGCAGCAGUAGGGAAUCUUCCACAAUGGGCGAAAGCCUGAUGGAGCAACGCCGCGUGUGUGAUGAAGGGUUUCGGCUCGUAAAACACUGUUGUAAGAGAAGAAUGACAUUGAGAGUAACUGUUCAAUGUGUGACGGUAUCUUACCAGAAAGGAACGGCUAAAUACGUGCCAGCAGCCGCGGUAAUACGUAUGUUCCAAGCGUUAUCCGGAUUUAUUGGGCGUAAAGCGAGCGCAGACGGUUAUUUAAGUCUGAAGUGAAAGCCCUCAGCUCAACUGAGGAAUUGCUUUGGAAACUGGAUGACUUGAGUGCAGUAGAGGAAAGUGGAACUCCAUGUGUAGCGGUGAAAUGCGUAGAUAUAUGGAAGAACACCAGUGGCGAAGGCGGCUUUCUGGACUGUAACUGACGUUGAGGCUCGAAAGUGUGGGUAGCAAACAGGAUUAGAUACCCUGGUAGUCCACACCGUAAACGAUGAGUGCUAGGUGUUUGAGGGUUUCCGCCCUUAAGUGCCGCAGCUAACGCAUUAAGCACUCCGCCUGGGGAGUACGACCGCAAGGUUGAAACUCAAAGGAAUUGACGGGGACCCGCACAAGCGGUGGAGCAUGUGGUUUAAUUCGAAGCAACGCGAAGAACCUUACCAGGUCUUGACAUCCCUUGACAACUCCAGAGAUGGAGCGUUCCCUUCGGGGACAAGGUGACAGGUGGUGCAUGGUUGUCGUCAGCUCGUGUCGUGAGAUGUUGGGUUAAGUCCCGCAACGAGCGCAACCCUUAUUACUAGUUGCCAGCAUUCAGUUGGGCACUCUAGUGAGACUGCCGGUGACAAACCGGAGGAAGGUGGGGAUGACGUCAAAUCAUCAUGCCCCUUUAUGACCUGGGCUACACACGUGCUACAAUGGCGUAUACAACGAGUUGCCAACCCGCGAGGGUGAGCUAAUCUCUUAAAGUACGUCUCAGUUCGGAUUGUAGGCUGCAACUCGCCUACAUGAAGUCGGAAUCGCUAGUAAUCGCGGAUCAGCACGCCGCGGUGAAUACGUUCCCGGGUCUUGUACACACCGCCCGUCACACCAUGAGAGUUUGUA
rnacentral:rRNA from 1 species